rnacentral:rRNA from 1 species
UUAUCGUUAGUUGCCAGCUGGUAAAGCAGGGGACUCUAGCGAAACUGCCACCGUAAGGUGAGAGGAAGGUGGGGAUGACGUCAAAUCAGCACGGCCCUUAUGUCCAGGGCUACACACGUGUUACAAUGGCCGGCACAGAGGGCAGCUACCUGGUGACAGGAUGCUAAUCUCGAAAACCGGUCUCAGUUCGGAUCGAAGUCUGCAACUCGACUUCGUGAAGCUGGAUUCGCUAGUAAUCGCGCAUCAGCCAUGGCGCGGUGAAUACGUUCCCGGGCCUU